rnacentral:rRNA from 1 species
AUUGAACGCUGGCGGCAGGCCUAACACAUGCAAGUCGAGCGGAUGAAGGGAGCUUGCUCCUGGAUUCAGCGGCGGACGGGUGAGUAAUGCCUAGGAAUCUGCCUGGUAGUGGGGGAUAACGUCCGGAAACGGGCGCUAAUACCGCAUACGUCCUGAGGGAGAAAGUGGGGGAUCUUCGGACCUCACGCUAUCAGAUGAGCCUAGGUCGGAUUAGCUAGUUGGUGGGGUAAAGGCCUACCAAGGCGACGAUCCGUAACUAGUCUGAGAGGAUGAUCAGUCACACUGGAACUGAGACACGGUCCAGACUCCUACGGGAGGCAGCAGUGGGGAAUAUUGGACAAUGGGCGAAAGCCUGAUCCAGCCAUGCCGCGUGUGUGAAGAAGGUCUUCGGAUUGUAAAGCACUUUAAGUUGGGAGGAAGGGCAGUAAGUUAAUACCCUGCUGUUUUGACGUUACCAACAGAAUAAGCACCGGCUAACUUCGUG